rnacentral:rRNA from 1 species
UGGGGAAUAUUGGACAAUGGGGGCAACCCUGAUCCAGCCAUGCCGCGUGAGUGAUGAAGGCUUUAGGGUUGUAAAACUCUUUCAGCGGUGACGAUAAUGACGGUAGCCGCAGAAGAAGCCCCGGCUAACUCCGUGCCAGCAGCCGCGGUAAUACGGAGGGGGCUAGCGUUGUUCGGAAUUACUGGGCGUAAAGCGCGCGUAGGCGGGUCGACAAGUUGGGGGUGAAAGCCCGGGGCUUAACCCCGGAACGGCCUUCAAAACUGUUGAUCUAGAAUCCGGGAGAGGUGAGUGGAAUUCCUAGUGUAGAGGUGAAAUUCGUAGAUAUUAGGAAGAACACCAGUGGCGAAGGCGGCUCACUGGACCGGUAUUGACGCUGAGGUGCGAAAGCGUGGGGAGCGAACAGGAUUAGAUACCCCCGUAGUCC